GGACUGUUUCAGAGUUAAUCAGGGAAUGGAAGACUGUUUCAUUCUCUUUAAGUGUUAAGAAUCUGAAAGUGUUAAAACUCUGAAAGAUUUGAGUUUAAAAGGAUUUGAAGGAGGAGGAGAGUUGAGUGAAAACAGUCAAAAUUACCCUACCAAGAUAAAUAGUUGAAAAUUACUCUAAUAACUUCAAGUUUUAUGCUACUACUAACAAGCUUUAUCCUUGAAGAAAACCAUUACCUCAUUCAGUGAACAGUGAAUGCCUGUGGGCAACAGACCUUUGUACUCAAUAGGACAGAAAGGGAGAUCCUUUAACAUGGUAAGGACAGCUAUAUAGAAUACUAAUAGAAGACUAGUAAUAACUAGUCUUUUUCCCCUUCAAGAUCAGAAUUAUAGAAUCUGCCUUAAUUCUCUGAAUGAAUCUCAUUCAGUGAUUUUAAAAAGUAUAUUUUUGCCCAGCUAUUGCCAUUGUGCUAAAAUCUUGAAAAAAUUAUCACCUCUGCUUAGUUAACAAAUCUCCAGUGAAGAAUAAGUAACAUUAUUUCCUCUGGGGGCGGGGGACUACUAAAUUAUCUCUUGCAGUAUCUCCAUUUUCAUUUUGGAUAACUGUUCAAAGAC
rnacentral:lncRNA from 1 species